AUUGAACGCUGGCGGCAGGCCUAACACAUGCAAGUCGAACGAGUGGCGGACGGGUGAGUAAUGUCUGGGAAACUGCCCGAUGGCGGGGGAUAACUACUGGAAACGGUAGCUAAUACCGCAUACCAUCGGAUGUGCCCAGAUGGGAUUAGCUAGUAGGUGGGGUAACGGCUCACUUAGGCGACGAUCCCUAGCUGGUCUGAGAGGAUGAACAGCCACACAGGAACUGAGACACGGUCCAGACUCCUACGGAAGGCAGCAGUGGGGAUUAUUGCACAAUGGGCGCAAGCCGUCUGCAGCCAUGCCGCGUGUAUGAAGAAGGCCUUCGGGUUGUAAAGUACUUUCAGCGAGGAGGCGUUACUCGCAGAAGAAGCACCGGCUAACUCCGUGCCAGCAGCCGCGGUAAUUC
rnacentral:rRNA from 1 species